rnacentral:tRNA from 1 species
GGUGGCUCAGUGGUAGAGUGCUUGCCUCAUAUGCAUGAGGCCCUGGGUUCAAUUCCUCAGUACCA